AGGAUAAACGCUGGCGGCGUGCAUGAGACAUGCAAGUCGAACGGACGAUCGAGGCUUGCUUCGAUCGUUAGUGGCGGACGGCUGAGUAACGCGUAGGUGACCUGCCCCGAAGUGGGGAAUAACUGCCCGAAAGGGUGGCUAAUACCGCAUGUGGUGGUGUGUUCAAUCACACCAGUAAAGCCGCAAGGCGCUUCGGGAGGGGCCUGCGUCCGAUUAGCUCGUUGGUGGGGUAACGGCUCACCAAGGCGACGAUCGGUAGGUGGUCUGAGAGGACGAUCACCCAGACUGGGACUGAGACACGGCCCAGACUCCUACGGGAGGCAGCAGUCGGGAAUUUUGCGCAAUGGACGAAAGUCUGACGCAGCAACGCCGCGUGAGGGAUGACGGCCUUCGGUUGUAACCUCUUUAUCAGGGAAGAUAAUGACGGUACCUGAUGAAUAAGUCACGGCUAACUACGUGCCAGCAGCCGC
rnacentral:rRNA from 1 species